UGAGGAAUAUUGGUCAAUGGGCGAGAGCCUGAACCAGCCAAAUCGCGUGAAGGAAGACUGCCUUAUGGGUUGUAAACUUCUUUUAUACAGGAAUAAAAAAGGGGACGUGUCCCUUAUUGCAUGUACUGUAUGAAUAAGCAUCGGCUAACUCCGUGCCAGCAGCCGCGGUAAUACGGAGGAUGCGAGCGUUAUCCGGAUUUAUUGGGUUUAAAGGGUGCGCAGGCGGGCUUUUAAGUCAGCGGUGAAAUCUCGGGGCUUAACUCCGAAACUGCCGUUGAAACUGGGAGUCUUGAGUAUGGAUGAAGUAGGCGGAAUUCGUUGUGUAGCGGUGACAUGCUUAGAUAUAACGAGGAACUCCGAUUGCGUAGGCAGCUUACUAAGCCAUAACUGACGCUCAAGCACGAAAGCGUGGGGAUCAAAACAGGAUUAGAUACCCUGGUAGUCCACGCCGUAAACGAUGAUUACUAGUUGUAUGCGAUAUACCGUAUGUGACUAAGCGAAAGCGAUAAGUAAUCCACCUGGGGAGUACGCCGGCAACGGUGAAACUUAAAGGAAUUGACGGGGUCAUAGCUGUUUCCU
rnacentral:rRNA from 1 species